rnacentral:lncRNA from 1 species
CCAGCUGGAAGUGAGAAUGCACCAUUGGUGGUGGAUGAGGUGCUGAUGGCCCUGACAUGCAGGGGGGCAUUGCUAAAACUGCACCAGGGUGAACUGGGGUGAAGCACCAUGGAAGAGAACCAUAAGUGCCACAUCUCAGGCGUGUGAGAGGUGCUGGGGCAGGAGUAAUGGCCCUGGACCAGUAGCUAGGAUCCAGGCUCAGCAUAUCCCAGCCAUGAAGGUGCUGGGCCUCGGAAGGGAGGAAGCGCAUGACUCAGCAGCACAGCCGAGAGCUGAGUCAGCAGGGCCAGCAGAGGCUAGAAGAGGAGAUGUGGACAUGGAUACCUGGGGGCUGGAUCAAAGGGAAAUUCAGGACCCGAAGUUGGGCAAGCAAGAGUCUGGCAAAGAUAAACCAUGUUGAUAAACCCCUCCCUGCACUGAUCAAAAAAUAAAUUCCC